UACGUAGGGGGCGAGCGUUGUCCGGAUUCAUUGGGCGUAAAGAGCUCGUAGGCGGCUUGGCAAGUCGGGUGUGAAAACUUCAGGCUCAACCUGGAGAUGCCACUCGAUACUGCUAUGGCUAGAGUCCGGUAGGGGACCACGGAAUUCCUGGUGUAGCGGUGAAAUGCGUAGAUAUUGGGAAGAACACCGGUGGCGAAAGCGCUCUGCUGGACCUGCACUGACACUGAGGGACGAAAGCUAGGGGAGCGAAAGGG
rnacentral:rRNA from 1 species